GCGUGGUUAGCUCAGUGUUAGAGUACCGGCCUGUCACGCCGGGGGUCGCGGGUUCGAGCCCCGUCCGCCGCGCCA
rnacentral:tRNA from 1 species